rnacentral:tRNA from 1 species
CGGGGUGUAGCGCAGCUUGGUAGCGCGCAUGCUUCGGGAGCAUGAAGUCGCAGGUUCAAAUCCUGUCACCCCGACCA